UUUAAGUGCAACCAUAAGUUUUCGCGUCCAACUUUUACCUUUCGUCUUAUUUAAUUUUUUUUAAAAUUAGUAUUUUUGUUGUUAUGAGAUGAUAAAACAUGAAUACUACUUUACUCGUGACUUAUGUUUUUAAUUUUUUUCAAAAUUUUUUCAAAUAAAACGGACGGUUAAAGUUGGGUGUAGAAAAUCAUGGCUGCACUUAAA
rfam:Oryza sativa Japonica Group DNA, chromosome 11, cultivar: Nipponbare, complete sequence.